rnacentral:rRNA from 1 species
GAUGAACGCUGGCGGCGUGCCUAAUACAUGCAAGUCGAGCGAACAGACGAGGAGCUUGCUCCUCUGACGUUAGCGGCGGACGGGUGAGUGACACGUGGAUAACCUACCUAUAAGACUGGGAUAACUUCGGGAAACCGGAGCUAAUACCGGAUAAUAUAUUGAACCGCAUGGUUCAAUAGUGAAAGACGGUUUUGCUGUCACUUAUAGAUGGACCCGCGCCGCAUUAGCUAGUUGGUAAGGUAACGGCUUACCAAGGCAACGAUGCGUAGCCGACCUGAGAGGGUGAUCGGCCACACUGGAACUGAGACACGGUCCAGACUCCUACGGGAGGCAGCAGUAGGGAAUCUUCCGCAAUGGGCGAAAGCCUGACGGAGCAACGCCGCGUGAGUGAUGAAGGUCUUCGGAUCGUAAAACUCUGUUAUUAGGGAAGAACAAAUGUGUAAGUAACUAUGCACGUCUUGACGGUACCUAAUCAGAAAGCCACGGCUAACUACGUG